GACGAACGCUGGCGGCGUGCCUAAUACAUGCAAGUAGGACGCAGUUGCGAACGGGUGAGUAACGCGUAGGUAACUACCUAUUAGAGGGGGAUAACUAUUGGAAACGAUAGCUAAUACCGCAUACUAGUAGAUGGACCUGCGUUGUAUUAGCUAGUAGGUAGGGUAAUGGCCUACCUAGGCAACGAUACAUAGCCGACCUGAGGAGGUGAUCGGCCACACUGGGAAUUGGGACAGGGCCAGACUCCUACCGGAGGCAGCAGGAGGGAAUCUUUGGCAAUGGGGGGAACCCUGACCGAGCAAAGCCGCGGGAGUGAAGAAGGUUUUCGGAUCGUAAAGCUCUGUUGUUAAGGGAGCGGUACUUAACCAGAAAGGGACGGCUAACUACGUGCCAGCAGCCGCGGUAAUAC
rnacentral:rRNA from 1 species